rnacentral:rRNA from 1 species
AUGCGGUGCGGCAGCCCCGGCAGGGCGACGAAGGCGUCGGGGUCGUCGGGGGCGUUCUCCAGCGGGUUGUGGCGCAGCAUGCUGUCGCUGCAGGAGCGCGCGAACAUGCUGCUGCCGAGGAACGCGAUGCGCGGGACGCCCCGCUCCGCGGCGGCGUCGACAGACCAGUGGAAGAAGCUGUCGGACACGACAGCGUCGGUGCGGUGGUCGGCCAGGAACCGGUCGAAUGGCUCCCGGAGCAGAGUCGCCGCGUGGAAGAACUUGUCGCGGUCGUCCUGGGACGAGAGGGCCGUGCCGUUCUCCACCCCCGGCGGGAGCCCGACGUCGGGGAAAGGCACGACAGCGAUGUCGAUGGCGGGACAGCCGGUGCCGGCGAAGGCGUCGUUGGCGCGCUUGACGGCGGAGCGGAUGAUGGCGGCGUUGACGGGCGUGGUGAGGAUGGUGCACCUGACGCCGCGGCCGGCGAAGAGCGCGGCCAUGUCGGCGAUCGGAAUGAGGUGGCCGGAGGCCAGGAACGGGAAGAAGAGGAUGUGCAGCGGCUCGUCGUGGACAGCCAUGGCUGGCGAGCUAGCCGGAAAGUACUACGGCCGGCGUGGAGGAUGA